UACCACCUCCCAUAUCACCACCUGCUCGCCCUCUUCCUCUACCACCGUCUCCACCUACUCGAGUAGCCCUUCUGCUUCUCUUCAUAUCUCCACUCACGAAUCCAGAGGAUCCAGACUGAGACAUCAUUGUGUGCCCCAAUUGGGCCAUAUCGUCAGGAGACAUACCUGGGGGUGGCCCGCAUGGUGAUCCAUUCGGUGGUGGGCCGCAAUUUUGAGAGUCACCUUGGGGGCUGCGUUUCUCUCGGUCGCUGUAAAGGCUGGAAGAACUGGAGGAACUAGACUCCGAGGGAGCUCCAAGGACCUCGAAUUAUUUUUAGAGAUAGUUCAGUUUAGGUAGUUUGGAUUUUCAGUUAUUAUUCUGGUCAUGAUAUAGCGAGGCAGUAGAGUAGGUAAAAUAAAUUGAUUCUUAAUUUGACAAAAAUAAAUUGAUUUCACAUCUCGAGUUCUAGGCUUACUUAAGCUUGGAAAUAUACUGGAAAUACAUUGGAAAUACAUUUGGAAAUACAAAUAAAAAAGAUGACGGGAAUAUAGAUGUAAUAUAAAACAUUCAAAACGAGAUACGUAUUGGUUUAUGAUAUUUAAAGAUUCAAGCGAAACUCUUAUCUUUUUAGUUAUGUCCAUAAAAAUAAAAAUUUAUAUAGAAAUCCAUAUACUGUGGAUGUUUAUAUAAAUUCACAUUUUUAUGAACUAUAACUAACAAAAAAAUAGUAUCAAUAAAGGUUCGUUUUAUCCAUUGAAUACUACAACGAGUAAUUUACAUCACUUUAUGCAUUUCAGCAUAUUCUGUGUAUUCUAUACAAUUUGAAACUUUUACAUAUCUUA
rnacentral:misc_RNA from 1 species